rnacentral:rRNA from 1 species
UCUAAGUAUAGGCACUCAUACUGUGAAACUGCGAAUGGCUCAUUAAAUCAGUUAUCGUUUAUUUGAUAGUACCUUUACCUGGAUAACCGUGGUAAUUCUAGAGCUAAUACAUGCUAAAAACCCCAACUUCGGGAGGGGUGUAUUUAUUAGAUAAAAAACCAAUGCCCUCUGGGGCUCCUUGGUGAUUCAUAAUAACUUAACGAAUCGCAUGGCCUUGCGCCGGCGAUGGUUCAUUCAAAUUUCUGCCCUAUCAACUUUCGAUUGUAGGAUAGAGGCCUACAAUGGUCUUAACGGGUAACGGGGAAUUAGGGUUCGACUCCGGAGAGGGAGCCUGAGAAACGGCUACCACAUCCAAGGAAGGCAGCAGGCGCGCAAAUUACCCAAUGCUAAUUCAGCGAGGUAGUGACAAUAAAUACUGAUACGGGGCUCUUUCGGGUCUCGUAAUUGGAAUGAGUACAAUCUAAAUCCCUUAACGAGGAACAAUUGGAGGGCAAGUCUGGUGCCAGCAGCCGCGGUAAUUCCAGCUCCAAUAGCGUAUAUUAAAGUUGUUGCCGUUAAAAAGCUCGUAGUUGAACCUUGGACCUGGCUGAUCUGUCCUCCUAAUCGAGCGCACGGAUUCGGUCGGGUCUUUCCUUCUGGGGAGCCCCAUGCCCUUCACUGGGUGUGGUGGGGAACCAGGACUUUUACCUUGAAAAAAUUAGAGUGUUCAAAGCAGGCCUUUGCUCGAAUACAUUAGCAUGGAAUAAUAGAAUAGGACAUCGGUUCUAUUUUGUUGGUUUCUAGGACCGCUGUAAUGAUUAAUAGGGAUAGUCGGGGGCGUCAGUAUUCAAUUGUCAGAGGUGAAAUUCUUGGAUUUAUUGAAGACUAACUACUGCGAAAGCAUUCGCCAAGGAUGUUUUCAUUAAUCAGUGAACGAAAGUUAGGGGAUCGAAGACGAUCAGAUACCGUCGUAGUCUUAACCAUAAACUAUGCCGACUAGGGAUCGGACGGUGGUUUUUUUAUGCCCCGUUCGGCACCUUACGAGAAAUCAAAGUUUUUGGGCUCG